UCCAGCCCCCAAGGUUGUAAGUGAAGGAAGAAAUUGUAGGCAUCGCAGUGUGAGUGGAGAGGCGGUAGGUACUGGGGCGUGGAAAAGGUUAUGGGUAUCGUGUGCAUGUGGAGAGGGCUGUUGCUGUAGGUAUAGAGGGAGCAGGAUGCUGUGUGGGAAAGGGGUUGCUUGCCACUGAAGGUUGGAGAAAUUCAGCUUUUCACCACAGAGAGGAAGUAGGGAGUGUUAUCUUUCUCUUUACUCCUCACAGCACUUGGUUAAAGUGAGCAACUUUUACAAAAAUAAAUAAUCUACUCUUCUGGCCUCCUAUGAACAUGGGUUGCUGGGCAGUUGCCUCUCCCUCACUACAGCCACAGGAGCAGGCUCUUCUGUUUACCAUGCUGGUUACCUCCUCUCCCUGGUCUCAGUGAAAGAGAGGUGAGCGAAGGAAACUCCAGGAAGAGACAGCUCUUGACUGGCUGAGUGUAUGCCAAGGAGGAGCCACCUGGGGGUGCAGGUUGCAGAGGCAGAUGGGACAAGGCAGUAUGUAUUUGUGUGUGCGGGUGUAUGUGGACUGCAAGAGGACAGGUAGGUAUUUGAGGUCUCUGUGUGCCAAAGAGUAGUGGUUGUGGAUACAAGAAGGAAAAGUAGUGGGGAGAAAGGGGUGCAAUUCCCUAAAGGAGAAAAAAACUGGAAUAUUUAUUGAGAAAGGGACCUGAAAAGGGCGGAGAGACAGAGAUUGAGAUCAAGGAGAAUAAAGACCCAAGGGAAGUGAGUCCAGGAAGAAAGUCAGAGGGAGGGUGCCAAGGCCACUGAGAGUGAAAGACUGUAGAAGAAAGAAGAGAUCCAAAAGGGAAGAGAGCAGGAGCAUGAGAGUGGUUAUGAGGAGAAUGGAGCAGUGAGUGAUAGAAGAAGAGGGAUCCAUAGAGGAAGGGCAAGAUGUUGGUCCCAUCUAUGCUAUAAAAUGCACCAUGCUUGUUACCAAUUACAAAGCAAUCAUACCACUGUUAGUAAUCCCAAACAGCUCAGGGUUGCAGAGAACAUGGGACCACACCAUGUUGAUUAACUUUGUUGGAGUUUUGCUUUAUUGCAGAAGUCAUGAAAACUGCUAAAACAUGGUUCUGACUUGUCUUCACUUCAGGAUUAAAUCUAUUCCACUAUUCUGGAGGAGAAUUUUCUCUAAACAUAGAUCAUUAAUACAGAACUCUUUAAGUUUAAAAAAAGGCUUAAAAGAGUUUUGCAUGGUGUAUAUAUACCAUAAAGAAGAUACAUGCACACAAGAAAUGAAGAAUCACAUCCAAGUUUAAAUGGAUUUCUCAGUUUUAUGUGUUGUAUGCUAAGGACUGUAAAUAAUGAGUCACUCUGGCUGAUGUCAGGAUCUCACUAUCAGAGCACUUGUGCAGCAGUAAACCUAGAGUAAUCUUUCUUCUGUGUGCCAGGCUGUUUGGUUGGUAAGUACAAUUUUAAAAUUUUUGAAACCCCUUUUUCCCUCAAUAACUGAUCUGAGUUGGAAAUAUAACCCUUCAAACUGCAAUUUUUCAUAGGAAGAAUUUCACACGCCUCUCCUAUUUGUUAGAUGAA